rnacentral:rRNA from 1 species
GAUGAACGCUGGCGGCGUGCCUAAUACAUGCAAGUCGAGCGAACUGAUUAGAAGCUUGCUUCUAUGACGUUAGCGGCGGACGGGUGAGUAACACGUGGGCAACCUGCCUGUAAGACUGGGAUAACUUCGGGAAACCGAAGCUAAUACCGGAUAGGAUCUUUUCCUUCAUGGGAGAUGAUUGAAAGAUGGUUUCGGCUAUCACUUACAGAUGGGCCCGCGGUGCAUUAGCUAGUUGGUGAGGUAACGGCUCACCAAGGCAACGAUGCAUAGCCGACCUGAGAGGGUGAUCGGCCACACUGGGACUGAGACACGGCCCAGACUCCUACGGGAGGCAGCAGUAGGGAAUCUUCCGCAAUGGACGAAAGUCUGACGGAGCAACGCCGCGUGAGUGAUGAAGGCUUUCGGGUCGUAAGACUCUGUUGUUAGGGAAGAACAAGUACGAGAGUAACUGCUCGUACCUUGACGGUACCUAACCAGAAAGCCACGGCUAACUACGUGCCAGCCGCCGCUGUAAUAC